rnacentral:rRNA from 1 species
CGCAUCUGUGCAUGCAGCAUAUCAAUAAGCGGAGGAAAAGAAACUAACAAGGACUCCCCUAGUAACGGCGGGUGAAGCGGGAAGAGCUCAAAUUUGAAAUCUUAAAGGGUUUCCCUUUACGAAUUGUAGUUUAAAGAAGUGUUUUCUGUUGAGGUUUUGGUAAAAGUUCUUUGGAAUAGGACAUCAUAGAGGGUGGGAAUCCCGUAUUUGACCUUUACUUUCAACUUUGUGAUACACUUUCAAAGAGUCGGAUUGUUUGGGAAUGCAGUCCAAAAUGGGUGGUAAAUUUCAUCUAAAGCUAAAUAUUGGCGAGAGACCGAUAGCGAACAAGUACCGUGAGGGAAAGAUGAAAAGAACUUUGAAAAGAGAGUUAAACAGUACGUGAAAUUGUCAAAAGGGAAGCGUUUGACACCAGUGUUGUUUUUCUGAAAAUCAAUUAAAGAACUGUUUAUGCUAAGCUGUUUAGACUUUAUCAGCUAACUGUUUAGUUUUGAGCUUUUCUUUAAUGCACUUUUCAGUUAACAAGUCAACAUCAAUUUCUUUUGCUGUAAAAAAGCUUGAGGAAGGUGGCUUGAGAUUCGUCUUAAGUGUUUAUAGCCUCUUGCCUAUGCAGUCGGAGAGAUUGAGGUCUGCAGCGUAGAUCCUUCGGGGCUAAAUGCAUUUGUGCUAAGUUAUAGCAUUUUAUAGACAACUUGUUGACUAUGAUUUGUCUUGUAGCUUUCUCGCUUAUGUUAUUUUACCUACGCUUAGGAUGUUGAGCGCAUGUCUCUCUCU